UGCUCACUUGUGCAAGUAAAUGAUCUAUUAACCUGAGUAUACAACUUUUGCAGAAAUGCUCCAUUUGCACAUCUCUGAAAGGCAUCCGUCAGCACUUCGUGAGAAAAACAAAGUAUAGAUAUGGAGGCAACGUACAAGAAGAUGAUUCUUCAACGAUUUUAAAGUUGAAGAUGGAUUGAUCAACCUUGAGGUAUACUUAUCAUUUAUGUAAUUAUUAGCUUAAUUUUAACAAAAGCUAACAGAUUUAUGUGUCAAUUUCUUAGUCGCUUGAUUUAGGGUUCAUGCCCUGGAUUUCUUUUGUUCUACAAUUGGUUCUUACCAGAUGUUGAAAACUACUCUAAGGUUACAUCUUUGAACAUAUAAAGUUCAUUAAUCUUUUAGAGAAGUAAAUUAAAGUCUGUUUACAGAAAAAUGGAAAAACACAUAGUUAGAAGAGGAAAAUUACUUCAUUUUGAACGGAAUCAGACCUUUUGUGUCAUGAUUUCUGGUCUCCUAACCGUAGUUCUUAUUGUUUCUACAAAGUUGUUAGCAUCAGAAGUCAAAGGAUGUGGCGGGUUCGGGUAUGGGUUGAAGAUCCGAGAGGCCUGGAGUUUGACAAAGUCAGCCAUUUGGAAAUUCAGGUACUUAAUUGUCAUUUUAUAUAUUCAACCCACAAUUAAAAGCUUAAAACUGAGCUGGAAACAAAGUUAUGGCCAUAAAAAGUAACAAUAAUCAGAGUUAAUUCGGCCCCUAAUAUCCAGAAAGCCUUUUUUUAAGCCCAUAACAGAAAUUAUCAAAAAGCUUCUAUUCCAUAAGAGACCAAGAGUACGUUCAGUUAACUUAUCUUGGGCCUGCUUGAAUUAAGAACUUCGUCCGUUUGCUCUUCUAGUCCUUUCUCUUACCACGCUUUCUUGCGGCGCAAUUACAAAAGCAGGGUUUCUUGGGGCAAACCCUUGUAAUGGCUUACUAGAGAAUCUCCAUCUCUAGAUUUGCGAAAGAAAAUCCCUAAUUAUCAAAAUCUGAGAUGGACAACCUUAAGAUCUUUGAUCCUUUCUCCAGCAAAUUCCUAGAUCUUGUCUUCUCCAUCCUCCAUGUUCUAAAUCGUACUGAAAGCUUGAAGCUGAUUCUUCCCGUUUGUAGGUAUGGAGAAUUGGUGUUCCAGGUGGAAGAAGUGUUUGACCAUAACCAGCGGUUGUGUCUCAUUCUUUUAAGUUGGCGGGAGAGAGGAGGAGGUCACUGGAAGAUCUUGAAGACUUCUCUGAGGUUGCCGGAAGCUCCCUUUAUCCCGGAAAUGGUCGCCGGAUUCAUUUCUUUGUUUCUUUUCUUCCUCCGACGGAUUGGCAACUUCCAGCUCACACUUCCUUUGGGCAAUGGUCUCACACUUUUCUCACGAAUACAAGACAUCUCUGACCCCAACCACCGGAAUAGGAACUUACAUGCUAUACAGAUAGGAACCAGAAGCAAAACAGGAUAUUACCUCCUCUUCAAGGCUCGAUUCAAAUAGCCUAUAUAUAUAUACACACGCGCAGAGACACGGGUAAUUACGUCAUAUGAAAUAAGAAUCACAUAUCUAUCUGUUUAUUUUCUUGCACCUUUUUUUUUUUUUUUUUUUUGUCUACGGCCUACUCCUUUCUAUUUUUGUUCUUUAAUACUAUCAGAAAUGCAUGCAUAUAUGUUGAUUGUGGACUAUUUUCUUUAACCACAGGUGUCAGGGGAUUUUUUGUCGGAUGCAAGCAAUACGAAACAGUAAUUAGGGUUCUGAUAUAUUUUGGUUAUACAUUUAGGAAUGUAUACUUGCUACCCAUUUGGUUCAUAAUUUCGUAUUCAGUUCCUAAGUAAAUUAAUUCAUCCAAGCUGGCUAUGGCCUCGGAUGCUAAGUUUGUUUUCGGGAUUAUAUUCUUUGCUCAACAUGGAAACUUUCUUAAUGGAGAUUUUGACGACUGUCAUCUUGCUCCUCGGCUUACUCGUGGAUUUAUCUAUCAAGUUUAAACGUUUGCGCCUGUCUACAGAAUUUUCAGCCUUGCUGAAAUCCCAAGCACAAGUUUCGGGCUUCUUGUCACUUCAAGGGUUGGAGUAAGUUUUUAUAAGUGGCAAUUAAACUUUUCAUCACUGUAAGCAUGGCAAUGUGGAUGCUGAAACUUCCUGUUUCUCAGGCCUCUUGAGUCUUUUAUUUCCUAAUUCAGUGCAUGCCAGUGAAUUGCUGUCGGUUUGGUCUGUAUUUUUAAGUGGAUGUGUCUGUAGCUGUUCCUAGUUCUCAAAACUGCUACAAAUUUGUUGAUUGUGUACCUUAUUAGCUUCAUAAUAAUAAGAUGUUUGUUGUUGAA
rnacentral:lncRNA from 1 species